rnacentral:rRNA from 1 species
GUAGGGAAUUUUGGACAAUGGGGGCAACCCUGAUCCAGCCAUGCCGCGUGCGGGAAGAAGGCCUUCGGGUUGUAAACCGCUUUUGUCAGGGAAGAAAUCCUUUGGGUUAAUACCUCGGAGGGAUGACGGUACCUGAAGAAUAAGCACCGGCUAACUACGUGCCAGCAGCCGCGGUAAUACGUAGGGUGCGAGCGUUAAUCGGAAUUACUGGGCGUAAAGCGUGCGCAGGCGGUUUUGUAAGAUCGAUGUGAAAUCCCCGGGCUCAACCUGGGAACUGCAUUGGUGACUGCAAGGCUGGAGUGCGGCAGAGGGGGAUGGAAUUCCGCGUGUAGCAGUGAAAUGCGUAGAUAUGCGGAGGAACACCGAUGGCGAAGGCAAUCCCCUGGGCCUGCACUGACGCUCAUGCACGAAAGCGUGGGGAGCAAACAGGAUUAGAUACCCUAGUAGUCC